rnacentral:rRNA from 1 species
CUGUCCAAACUUACGGUGGAGAGCGAUUUUUGCGACAUUGAUGACGGCAGUUCCCGGAGUUGUAAAGCUCGGAAGGUGGCUGUGCUAGCUUCACGGUCUGUUGUUGGUCUCUCUUCAUUUUCAGAUGAAAAGAGGAUAAGAGUUUGCUCAGGAUUCGUGAUAUCAUCCGAUGCUUGUACAGAUACCUACAAAAUCUUAACUUCGGCAACACUAAUAAGGUCUCUUAACACGAAUAACAUUUUGAUCCCAGAUGUAAAGAUCAAGGUGUGUUUACCAAAUGGGGAUAUCUCUGAUGGCGUCAUAUCCAUGGUAGAUUUUCACUAUAACAUAGCAGUUGUUAAAGUGAAAUCUGACCAGAAACUUCCAGAGGCAGUUCUGAUUAGUGAAGUUAUCAAAAGAGGAGCCGUGUUAGCGAUUGGACGUUUCUAUGAUCAUGGUAGAGUGAUGUGCGCACAAGGUAAAAUCAGAAAACAAGCAAGUACAUUCGAUUGCUCAGAGCUUCUAGUAUCAAGCUGCCAGACGACCAUGGCGGGUGUUGGUGGUCCCCUUGUAAAUUACAGUGGUGAUGUUGUGGGUAUCAAUUUCUACGGAGAAAACCACACGCCCUUUCUUUCAACGGGAAUUAUUGUAAGAUGCUUGGAACAUUGGAGAAAAUAUGGGUAGAAAAAUAAUUCGACCUUGGUUUGGAAUCAUGUACAAGCCUAUUGAUAUGUUGCCACUUCGUGUUUUGGAGAAAUGUGCAUAUAUUGGCAAGGGUUUGUAUAUUUCAGAUGUAUGAAACUCUUCUUUUUAUCGUUUGUUACUUAUUACCAUACUAGUUCAUGA